rnacentral:rRNA from 1 species
AGCCCCGUACACAAAAGCGCAUGUGCUGUGAGCUCGAUGAGUAGGGCGGGACACGUGGUAUCCUGUCUGAAUAUGGGGGGACCAUCCUCCAAGGCUAAAUACUCCUGACUGACCGAUAGUGAACCAGUACCGUGAGGGAAAGGCGAAAAGAACCCCGGCGAGGGGAGUGAAAAAGAACCUGAAACCGUGUACGUACAAGCAGUGGGAGCACAGGUUUACCUGUGUGACUGCGUACCUUUUGUAUAAUGGGUCAGCGACUUAUAUUCUGUAGCAAGGUUAACCGAAUAGGGGAGCCGGAGGGAAACCGAGUCUUAAUUGGGCGUUAAGUUGCAGGGU